rnacentral:rRNA from 1 species
CACGUAGGCGGAUAUUUAAGUCAGGGGUGAAAUCCCAGAGCUCAACUCUGGAACUGCCCUUGAUACUGGGUAUCUUGAGUAUGGAAGAGGUAAGUGGAAUUCCGAGUGUAGAGGUGAAAUUCGUAGAUAUUCGGAGGAACACCAGUGGCGAAGGCGGCUUACUGGUCCAUUACUGACGCUGAGGUGCGAAAGCGUGGGGAGCAAACA